UGCAGUGUUAGAAUUGGCAACGCGCCAGAAGAGAGGGAUGCCAACCCAAGCAGAGUCCCUGCCCUCGAGGCUUCAAUAAGAGCUUAUGCAGACAACAAGGUUGGCACUGUUGUUAACCCGGCGCUCGGAACUAGCUUUGACACAGUUGAAGAAGCAUAUGUGUUUUACAACCUAUACUCCUGGGAGACAGGGUUUGGCGUUAGGUAUGCCAAAAGCAUGCUGAACGUCCAUUGGAAAAAAUGCAUGCAGGAGUUUGUAUGCGUGUGUGCGGGCAAGCCAUUGCAAUCGAACAGCCACUCAACGAGGUGUGGAUGCCCCGCUUUGAUGUGGGUGCUUAGAUCGGAUGAUAAAGGGUGGUACAUAUGUGAACACAAAGCAGAGCACAACCAUGCAGUCUCAGUUAACUACAUGGAGAAGCUCCACUAG
rnacentral:rRNA from 1 species